UACGUAGGGUGCGAGCGUUAAUCGGAAUUACUGGGCGUAAAGCGUGUGUAGGUGGCUCGCUAAGUCGGUUGUGAAAUCCCUGGGCUCAACCUGGGAAUUGCAGUCGAUACUGGCAAGCUCGAGUUCGGUAGAGGGUGACGGAAUUCCGGGUGUAGCGGUGGAAUGCGUAGAGAUCCGGAAGAACACCAGUGGCGAAGGCGGUCAACUGGCCUCAUAUUGACACUCAGACGCGAAGGCAUGGGUAGCGAACGGG
rnacentral:rRNA from 1 species